UCCCCCCACAGUAAGCAUCUAUAAAUCAUAUAAACCAAUUAAUUUGGUGUGGCUUUUGGAUAAACCAAAUUACAUCAUUCUGUAUAAAACCACUGUCAUACAUCCCAUUAUUCUGAAAUGAAAAGGACCAGUCAGACUGAGAAUCAGAACAAGUAUUUAUGUACACAAUAUAUCUAGACUAUCACUACACAUCAUUCCAUCCUUUUUCAAUAAUUAAACCAAGAUAUAAGAGAACAAAACUCAUUCCAGGUAUAAAUAAUAUUUUUAUUAUCAAACAUUCACUUAUAAUGUUACGUACUGUCAAUGAUAACUGAGAGCUG
rnacentral:lncRNA from 1 species